GCUUAACACAUGCAAGUCGAGGGGCAGCAUGGUUUUAGCUUGCUAAGGCCGAUGGCGACCGGCGCACGGGUGAGUAACACGUAUCCAACCUGCCGUCUACUCUUGGACAGCCUUCUGAAAGGAAGAUUAAUACAAGAUGGCAUCAUGAGUCCGCAUGUUCACAUGAUUAAAGGUAUUCCGGUAGACGAUGGGGAUGCGUUCCAUUAGAUAGUAGGCGGGGUAACGGCCCACCUAGUCUUCGAUGGAUAGGGGUUCUGAGAGGAAGAUCCCCCACAUUGGAACUGAGACACGGUCCAAACUCCUACGGGAGGCAGCAGUGAGGAAUAUUGGUCAAUGGGCGAGAGCCUGAACCAGCCAAGUAGCGUGAAGGAUGACUGCCCUAUGGGUUGUAAACUUCUUUUAUAAAGGAAUAAAGCCGGGUAUGGAUACCCGUUUGCAUGUACUUUAUGAAUAAGGAUCGGCUAACUCCGUGCCAGCAGCCGCGGUAAUACGGAGGAUCCGAGCGUUAUCCGGAUUUAUUGGGUUUAAAGGGAGCGUAGAUGGAUGUUUAAGUCAGUUGUGAAAGUUUGCGGCUCAACCGUAAAAUUGCAGUUGAUACUGGAUAUCUUGAGUGCAGUUGAGGCAGGCGGAAUUCGUGGUGUAGCGGUGAAAUGCUUAGAUAUCACGAAGAACUCCGAUUGCGAAGGCAGCCUGCUAAGCUGCAACUGACAUUGAGGCUCGAAAGUGUGGGUAUCAAACAGGAUUAGAUACCCUGGUAGUCCACACGGUAAACGAUGAAUACUCGCUGUUUGCGAUAUACGGCAAGCGGCCAAGCGAAAGCGUUAAGUAUUCCACCUGGGGAGUACGCCGGCAACGGUGAAACUCAAAGGAAUUGACGGGGGCCCGCACAAGCGGAGGAACAUGUGGUUUAAUUCGAUGAUACGCGAGGAACCUUACCCGGGCUUAAAUUGCAGAUGAAUUACGGUGAAAGCCGUAAGCCGCAAGGCAUCUGUGAAGGUGCUGCAUGGUUGUCGUCAGCUCGUGCCGUGAGGUGUCGGCUUAAGUGCCAUAACGAGCGCAACCCUUGUUGUCAGUUACUAACAGGUUCCGCUGAGGACUCUGACAAGACUGCCAUCGUAAGAUGUGAGGAAGGUGGGGAUGACGUCAAAUCAGCACGGCCCUUACGUCCGGGGCUACACACGUGUUACAAUGGGGGGUACAGAGGGCCGCUACCACGCGAGUGGAUGCCAAUCCCAAAAACCUCUCUCAGUUCGGACUGGAGUCUGCAACCCGACUCCACGAAGCUGGAUUCGCUAGUAAUCGCGCAUCAGCCACGGCGCGGUGAAUACGUUCCCGGGCCUUGUACACACCGCCCGUCAAGCCAUGGGAGCCGGGGGUACCUGAAGUGCGUAAAAGGGAGGAGCGCCCUAGGGUAAAACUGGUGA
rnacentral:rRNA from 1 species